UCCUACGGGAGGCAGCAGUGGGGAAUAUUGGACAAUGGGCGGAAGCCUGAUCCAGCAACGCCGCGUGAGGGAUGACGGCCUUCGGGUUGUAAACCUCUUUCAGCACAGACGAAGCGCAAGUGACGGUAUGUGCAGAAGAAGGACCGGCCAACUACGUGCCAGCAGCCGCGGUAAUACGUAGGGUCCGAGCGUUGUCCGGAAUUAUUGGGCGUAAAGGGCUCGUAGGCGGUCUGUCGCGUCGGGAGUGAAAACCAGGUGCUUAACACCUGGCCUGCUUUCGAUACGGGCAGACUAGAGGUACUCAGGGGAGAAUGGAAUUCCUGGUGUAGCGGUGAAAUGCGCAGAUAUCAGGAGGAACACCGGUGGCGAAGGCGGUUCUCUGGGAGUAUCCUGACGCUGAGGAGCGAAAGUGUGGGGAGCGAACAGGAUUAGAUACCCUGGUAGUCCACACCGUAAACGUUCCCCGCUAGGUGUGGCCCCCCUUGCGCGGGCCCGAAGGACACUCAAGGGAAUGCGAGAGAGUCUCUCACUUCCUUUUCGA
rnacentral:rRNA from 1 species